CAGCCUAUCGGUUAUUGUUAGAGCACUGUGUUGAUAACGCAGGGGUCGUAGGUUCGAGUCCUACCGGGGGAU
rnacentral:tRNA from 1 species